rnacentral:tRNA from 1 species
GCGCUGGUGGUCUAGCUGGUAUGACAAUGGCCUUCCAAGCCAUCGACCCGGGUUCAAAUCCCGGCCGGCGCA